rnacentral:rRNA from 1 species
GAUCUCAGCUCAAGCAAGAGGACCCGCUGAAUUUAAGCAUAUCAAUAAGCGGAGGA